GCUUUAUUAUUAUAAUUUUUAUUAUUUUAUUGAUUAUUUUAGUAAUAAUUUUUUUAAUAAUUUGAUUGGGGUAAUUAAAAGAUUAAUUUAAUUCUUUUUUAUUAUAUUCAUUAAUUUAUGUUUUAUUGAUCCAUUAAUAUUGAUUAAAAGAUUAAGU
rnacentral:rRNA from 1 species